CCCUCCCCACUGCUUGCAAGUGCUCUCUCUGUCUCUCUCUCAAAUAAGUAAAUAUUUUUUAAAAAAUUGAAACUAUAGAAGUACCAAGGGGAAAAAAAUGGCAGAAUUUCUCUGUGACGUGAGAGUAGAGAAGAUUUUCAUAACUACAGCCAAAAAUCCAGCUUUAACUGAAGAGAAAGAUUGAUCAACUUAACUACAUAAAAAUUUAAAAGCAGGGCACCUGGGUUUAAAUGGCUCAGUCAGUUAAGCAUCUGACU